AACGAACGCUGGCGGCAUGCCUAACACAUGCAAGUCGAACGAAACCUUCGGGUCUUGUGGCGCACGGGUGCGUAACGCGUGGGAACCUGCCCUUAGGUUCGGAAUACCUCCCCGAAAGGGGUGCUAAUACCGGAUAGUGUCUUCGGACCAAAGAUUUAUCGCCUUUGGAUGGGCCCGGGUUGGAUUAGCUGGUUGGUAGGGUAAAAGCCUACCAAGGCGACGAUGCAUAGCUGGUCUGAGAGGAUGAGUAGCCACACUGGGACUGAGACACGGCCCAGACUCCUACGGAAGGCAGCAGUGGGGAAUAUUGGACGAUGGGCGAAGGCCUGAUCCAGCAAUGCCGCGUGAGUGAUGCAGGCCUUAGGGUUGUAAAGCUCUUUUACCCGGGAUGAUAAUGACAGUACCGGGAGAAUAAGCUCCGGCUAACUCCGUG
rnacentral:rRNA from 1 species